rnacentral:rRNA from 1 species
GACGAACGCUGGCGGCGUGCUUAACACAUGCAAGUCGAACGGAAAGGCCCUGCUUUUGUGGGGUGCUCGAGUGGCGAACGGGUGAGUAACACGCGAGUAACCUGCCCUUGUCUUUGGGAUAACUUCAGGAAACUGGGGCUAAUACCGGAUAGGAGCUCCUGCUGCAUGGUGGGGGUUGGAAAGUUUCGGCGGUUGGGGAUGGACUCGCGGCUUAUCAGCUUGUUGGUGGGGUAGUGGCUUACCAAGGCUUUGACGGGUAGCCGGCCUGAGAGGGUGACCGGCCACAUUGGGACUGAGAUACGGCCCAGACUCCUACGGGAGGCAGCAGUGGAGAAUAUUGCGCAAUGGGCGGAAGCCUGAUGCAGCAACGCCGCGUGCGGGAUGACGGCCUUCGGGUUGUAAACCGCUUUCGCCUGUGACGAAGCGUGAGUGACGGUAAUGGGUAAAGAAGCACCGGCUAACUACGUG